rnacentral:tRNA from 1 species
CACCAGAUAGCUCAGUUGGUAGAGCACCUGACUAGAGAUUUAGUGGGUCUGGGUUUGAAUCCCGGUCUGGUCU